UACGGAGGGUGCAAGCGUUAAUCGGAAUUACUGGGCGUAAAGCGCGCGUAGGCGGCUGGAUAAGUCGAUUGUGAAAGCCCCGGGCUCAACCUGGGAAUUGCAGUCGAGACUGUUCGGCUAGAGUGUGGGAGAGGGCAGUGGAAUUCCCGGUGUAGCGGUGAAAUGCGUAGAUAUCGGGAAGAACACCAGUGGCGAAGGCGACUUUCUGGCCUGUAACUGACGCUGAGGCGCGAAAGCGUGGGGAGCAAACAGG
rnacentral:rRNA from 1 species